UACGUAGGUGGCAAGCGUUGUCCGGAAUUAUUGGGCGUAAAGCGCGCGCAGGCGGUCCUUUAAGUCUGAUGUGAAAGCCCACGGCUCAACCGUGGAGGGUCAUUGGAAACUGGGGACUUGAGUGCAGAAGAGGAGAGCGGAAUUCCACGUGUAGCGGUGAAAUGCGUAGAGAUGUGGAGGAACACCAGUGGCGAAGGCGGCUCUCUGGUCUGUAACUGACGCUGGAGGCGCGAAAGCGUGGGAGCAAACAGG
rnacentral:rRNA from 1 species